UGCCUUGGUAAAAUGUCCCCCUUUAAAUAAAUACUUGGCUUAAUUCCAGGAGUAAAUAAUGUCGCUAAACAGCGCGGAUAAAGCAAAAAUCGUUGAAGAAUACAAACGUGGUGAU
rfam:Legionella waltersii strain ATCC 51914 Lwal_ctg051, whole genome shotgun sequence.